rnacentral:rRNA from 1 species
GACGAACGCUGGCGGCGUGCUUAACACAUGCAAGUCGAGCGGAAAGGCCCUUCUUGGUACUCGAGCUCGGAAGGGGAGAGUAACACUAGCGUAAGAUUACCUUGCCCUUGGGUUUACGAUGGGAACCCGGGGCUAAUACUGAUAAUGACUUGGUGCUCCUUCGGCUUGGUGGGAAAGGUUUUUCGUCCGGGGUUGGGCUCGCGGCCUAUCAGCUUGUUGGUGGGGUGAUGGCCUACCAAGGCGAUGACGGGUAGCCGGCCUGAGAGGGGGACCGGCCACACUGGGACUGAGACACGGCCCAGACUCCUACGGGAGGCAGCAGUGGGGAAUAUUGCACAAUGGGCGGAAGCCUGAUGCAGCGACGCCGUGUGAGGGAUGAAGGCCUUCGGGUUGUAAACCUCUUUCAGCAGGGACGAAGCGUGAGUGACGGUACCUGCAGAAGAAGCGCCGGCCAACUACGUG